rnacentral:rRNA from 1 species
UACAGAGGUCUCAAGCGUUGUUCGGAUUCAUUGGGCGUAAAGGGUGCGUAGGUGGCGCGCUAAGUCAGGUGUGAAAUCUCGGGGCUUAACUCCGAAACUGCAUUUGAUACUGGCGUGCUUGAGGACUGGAGAGGAGACUGGAAUUUACGGUGUAGCAGUGAAAUGCGUAGAGAUCGUAAGGAAGACCAGUGGCGAAGGCGGGUCUCUGGACAGUUCCUGACACUGAGGCACGAAGGCCGGGGGAGCAAACGGG